rnacentral:rRNA from 1 species
UACAGAGGUCUCAAGCGUUGUUCGGAUUCAUUGGGCGUAAAGGGUGCGUAGGUGGCGAUGUAAGUCUGGUGUGAAAUCUCGGGGCCCAACCUCGAAAUUGCAUUGGAUACUGCGUUGCUUGAGGAUUGUAGAGGAGAGUGGAAUUCACGGUGUAGCAGUGAAAUGCGUAGAUAUCGUGAGGAAGACCAGUUGCGAAGGCGACUCUCUGGGCAAUUCCUGACACUGAGGCACGAAGGCCAGGGGAGCAAACGGG